GACGAACGCUGGCGGCGUGCCUAACACAUGCAAGUCGAGCGGGGACUUGGGUGCUUGCACCUGGGUUCUAGCGGCGGGCGGGUGAGUAACGCGUGAGCAACCUGCCUCAAACUGGGGGAUAACGCAUCGAAAGAUGUGCUAAUACCGCGUAAGACCACGCUACCACAUAGUAGAGGGGUCAAAGGAGCAAUCCGGUUUGAGAUGGGCUCGCGUCCGAUUAGCUAGUUGGCGGGAUAACAGCCCACCAAGGCGACGAUCAGUAGCCGAUCUGAGAGGAUGACCGGCCACAUUGGAACUGAGACACGGUCCAA
rnacentral:rRNA from 1 species